rnacentral:misc_RNA from 1 species
UUUCCGUAGGUGAACCUGCGGAAGGAUCAUUGUAGGAUUGUUUUGGGAGGGGUGGCUGUGAUUUGUGGGGAUUGUGUGGUUGUUUGGAUUGCUUGGAUUGCCUGGAUUGCUUGGAUUGCCUGGCUGUCUGCAACUCGACUCGUCUCAUCACAAUCACUCUUUACAUUGGCACAGACCAGUGGUCUGGUGUUUGGAGCACAGACUCGGUCUGGUGUUUGGAGCAACAGACUCAGUCUGAUGUUUGCGCUUGUUCGUUUGACAGAAACAGUACCAUAUCAUUGCAAAACUUUUAACAAUGGAUCUCUUGGCUCUU